GUUUGAUUAUUAUUCCUGCGCAGGUGGCCGCUUGACGUAUUUCUGUUAUUUUUAAAAUCACAGGUGCCGUUCGUUUCAGAAGAACUUGCUGAUUUAGUUAAAUCACGGACAAAACAUGUCAGAAAGCGACGAAACGUGUUUGCCGUUACUCAUUUAUUACAUGAGGGAGAAACACUACAGACGGGCCAUGAACACAGCUGUGGGGAGCUUAAAGUUGUACAAAAAUGAUCCAGUGCUGCUGUUUUUCAAAGCUUUUGCAACUCUGAUGGAAGGUCACACACAGGAGGCUCUGAGAGAGUUUGUCCAUCUGAAAGCUCAUCCUCAUCUGUGUCUGUGUUCAACAGCAGCUCUGGUUCACGCACACAAGCUCAUCGAAACUACCGGAGAUGGAGAAGCUGUGCGGGAGCUGACCCGUGAGCUGAAGCUGUCUGGAUCCGCGGCCGGCGAGCGGGCGUUGUAUUACGCAGCCCUCUUUUACUGGAUCCUGGGGAUGAAUCUCAAAGCCAGGACGUGCGUUAAAAAGAUGCUGAAGCUCUCUGGGACGUCACCGGAGGGGCUUAUUCUGAAGGGCUGGAUUGCGUUGACCUCUGACACCGACGAGAGCCGACCUCAGGCUAUACUCUACUUUGACAGCGGUGUUCGGGACACUGGCAGCUUAUUUGGACUCAUGGGAAAAAUGGAGUUCUUCCUGGCGAAGCAGAGCGAGCAGGACGCUCUCGACCUCUCCAGUCGGAUCACGGCCUCUCACCCGGACUUCAGCCCGGCGCUCCUCGUGAAGAUGAAGGCGUUCAUGUCUCUACGAGACUGGGAGCGAGCGGAGGCGGUCGCACGGAGAGCUCUGGAGAGAGACAGACAUGAUCUGAAAGCCCUUCAAAUGAUGACCGUCAUUGCUGCGGCUAAAGAAGGAAAGAUAGAGCUGCUGAAAGAGCGUCUUCAGGCUUUAAUGAGAGCGCUUGAGAUCUCCGAGCCCAGCAAUCCCAGCCUGCAUGUGGAGAUCAUAGCAGUCGUCAGCCGACUGUGUGGACACGAGCCAGAGAUCCUGCAGAUGUUGACCGUGUUUGUGCGUCGAGUGUGUUCACGAGCUCCGGCGGCGUCUGAUGUCCUCUGUGAACUCGGCUAUCUGCUCAGUCACCAAAACAAGUACAGAGAAGCCCAAGAAAGCUACUCUGCAGCACUGAAAACAGACCCCAGGUGCACCUCGGCGUUAGUAGGCACUAUUAGAUGCCAGCUGAUGUGCGAUCAGCUCGAGGAAGCUGCCCAGCAGCUCGAGUUUUUCUGCGAAGUGCAAGAGUCUUUCGGAAAAACAGCGGAAGUUCCUAUGCUGAAGGCUCUGUUGGGCAGGAAGCAGAACGCAAGCGAGGAGACGGUGAUGAAGCUUCUGAAAGACGCCACCGAUCUCCAUUUCUCGGUGCUUCGUGGGUUAAACUACGGCGUGGAAUACCUGAGGAUGCUGGACCUCAGUUUCCUUUUGCAAAUAGUGCGCAUGCACCUGGAGAACAAACAAGAUUUUGCUCUUGUUCCUGGACAAACUCCGCCGUUCUGGCUGAAACACUCAAAUGUGAUCCUGGAAGCCGUCGUGCGAGCUCUUCCCGGCGUGCCGCUGGCCUCUUAUUACAUGGCACACGUCAGCUUCCUCCUAGGCAGACGCAGAACAGCCCAGCACUUUUUGAACCUGUGCACGGAGAAGGACCCGAGCGUCCCUGAGGUGCACCUCCUGCAGGCCCGUCUGCACCUGAGCGCUGGAGAUCACGGCCGCUGUCUGAGCUGCCUGGAGGCUGCCGGCGCCGUCAGCUUCGAGGUUCGAGAUCGAUUCCAGUUCAAUCUGCUCAAAGCUCGUGCUCUGCUGAGAUCCGGAGACCUGAAGAACGCCAUCCAGUGUCUGAAGAUCACCAUGAACAUGCCCGGGGUCCGCCGGCCCUCAGAGGGGCCGCAGUCCUUCAUCUCCACCAGCGAGAGAGUGUCCGUGCACCUGGAGCUCACAGAAGCGCUGAGACUCAACGGAGAACAGCAUGAGGCCGCUAAAGUCCUGCAGGACGCCGCUCUGCACUUCAAAGGCUCACCGGAGGAGACUCGUCUCGUUCUUGCUAAUGCGGACCUGGCUUUAGCGAGAGAUGACGUGGAUGCUGCUGUAGACGUGCUGCAGAACAUCCUCCCCGCUGAGUCAACCUACAUCCAAGCCAGAGAGAAGAUGGCGCAUAUUUACUUGGAGAGGAAACACGAUAAGAAGCUUUACAUCGCAUGUUACAGACAAAUAAGUGAACAGCUUCCAGGAGCUCAUACUAUGAUCUUGUUGGCUGAUGCUUUCAUCAAGAUAAACCAGCCAGAAGAAGCAGUCAAGAUCUACCAAGAAGCAGAGAAAAUUGCUCAGAAAGAUACUUUAGCCCUGAAAAUAGGCCGGGCUUUAGUGAAGGCUCACGAAUACGACACGGCUGUGGGCUGUUAUGAGACGGCUCUGAAGACGGAUACGCUGGACUGUCUUCUGAGUGUGGAGCUGUCCGAACUGCUGCUUAAACUGAAACGACCGGAGAAAGCCCAGAAGGUCCUGGAGAAGGCCUUGGAUCAUGAACCCACUUCUGCUUUGACCGCUCUGAUGAACGAAGUGAGAGUUUUACGAGUGCUAGCAAAAGUACUGCGCGCCAGGAAUGAGUCUGCCCUGGACGUCAUGAUAAAGUUGCAUGGUCUCCAGCAAAAAGUAGUUUCCCGAAUCGCGAGCGAGCGACCGGAAGAGUACGAGGACGAGAGGAAGCUGUUAGUGUUGAUCUGUAGUGAUUGGGCUCACGAGUUUGACCUCAGACGUGACCUGGAAAAGGCCAAACAGCACUACACUGACGCUUUAAAUCACUGCCCGGAUGAUGAGGAGGUCAUCUUUCGUCUGGCUCAGUUGUACUAUGAGUAUCAGAAGCUGGAUUACUGUGAGGAACUGUGUCUGAAGGUCCUGCAGCUCCAUAAAAACCAUCCCGCUGCCUCGAUGCUGUUGGCUGAAGCAUUAUUUUGGAAGAACCAAAAAGAGGAAACAGUCAAGAUUUAUGCCAGUAUUAUGGAGCUAAACCCAGACAACUUUCAUGCCAUGGCCAAGUUUCUGCACGUUCUGCGCAGGAUGGGGAGACUCGAUGACGUCCGGUCCGUUUUUACAGCGUGUGAAAAGUUCAGUCCACUGUCGGUCAGAGAACCAGGAUAUCAUUACUGCAAGGGUCUCUACUUCUGGCACUCGUCUCAGGUGAGCGAAGCUCUGACGCACCUGAACAAGGCCAGAGCCGACACGGUCUGGGGAGAAGCAGCGCUGGAUCUGAUGGUCCGGAUCUGCCUGAACCCCGACAGAGACGUCUUCGGAGGAGAGGCGUUAGGACGAAAGGAAACGAGUGACUCUGAGAGCGAGACGAGAAUGAGCACCGCUCUCAAUAUGCUCUCCGUGUUUCGCCCGCGAUCUAAAGCCGAGCACGACAAACUCCGGCUGCUCUCGAACCUGUGUCGAAUCCACAGCAAGGAGCCCCGAGAGGUGCAGAGAGCCGUGCUGGAGCUCGCAGACAUGCAGGCCCAGAACGUGAUGCUGGAGGCGUCGUUGCUGACUCUGGCUCAAGGUUUCGUUCAGCUGAAGCAGGUUCCCAGAGCCAGAAACUUCCUGAAGCGUCUCUCUAGGAUCGAGUGGAGCGACGCCAACGCUGAGGACCUGGAGAACGCCUGCCUGCUCUUGGCUGACAUGUACGUCAAGAUGGGAAAACACACGCAAGCGGACAAACUGCUCGACUGCUGCCUGCGACACAACCUGGCGUGCAGUAAAGCGUACGAGUUUCGGGGUCUGAUGAUGGAGAAGGAGCAGAGACACAGCGACGCAGCGCAGCAGUAUGAACUGGCCUGGAAGUACAGCAGCAGAGCCCAUCCAGCAGCCGGCUUUCGUCUCGCCUUUAACCACCUGAAGUGCAAAAACUACACCCUGGCUGUGGAUGUGUGUCGUCAGGUGCUGCGGCAGCAUCCAGAUUACCCUCAGAUCCAAGACGAGCUUCUGACCCGGGCUCAGCUCUCUCUCCGCGCUGAAGUACCUGUAUCAUAACGGAUCCUGUGGAAGAACUCUUAAAGAUUGUGCUCGAGAAGAAAGGAGAAGCUCCAGCGGCCAUGUCCGUCUCCGACAGUCCGGCGUCGUCCCUCUGCAUGUUCUCCGGCCCCCUGAACCCUGACCCCGGCUCCAUGAGCGCUCCGAUGCCUCCGCUGGACGCCGCUCUGUACGGCCCGCCCGACGGCCGGAGCGUGGAGAGCA